rnacentral:rRNA from 1 species
GACGAACGCUGGCGGCGUGCUUAACACAUGCAAGUCGAACGGAAAGGCCCUGCUUUUGUGGGGUGCUCGAGUGGCGAACGGGUGAGAAACACGUGAGUAACCUGCCCUUGACUUUGGGAUAACUUCAGGAAACUGGGGCUAAUACCGGAUAGGAGCUCCUGCUGCAUGGCGGGGGUUGGAAAGUUUCGGCGGUUGGGGAUGGACUCGCGGCUUAUCAGCUUGUUGGUGGGGUAGUGGCUUACCAAGGCUUUGACGGGUAGCCGGCCUGAGAGGGUGACCGGCCACAUUGGGACUGAGAUACGGCCCAGACUCCUACGGGAGGCAGCAGUGGGGAAUAUUGCACAAUGGGCGGAAGCCUGAUGCAGCAACGCCGCGUGCGGGAUGACGGCCUUCGGGUUGUAAACCGCUUUCGCCUGUGACGAAGCGUGAGUGACGGUAAUGGGUAAAGAAGCACCGGCUAACUACGUG